rnacentral:lncRNA from 1 species
GAUAUGUCAAAUAGUUUUAAAGUACUGGUUAAAAAUAAUAAAUAAUUAUUAAAUUUUUAAAUAAAACACGCUUCAACUCACUGACGAGGCACAUUUUGUUUAAGUGAUUUGGGAUCAUAAUAAUUUGUGGUCUAGAAUCUACAACUCAGAGAUUGGACAAUCUUAAUGAAUCACCCUGUAUAUUAUAAUCCAGUCAUGUAAGACUGGAUGUCAACAAAGUACAGAUCAUAAAAAAAAAAGAAAAGGAAGAAAACUGCCGGUCAACAAGUCAAAAGUCAACAUAACAUAACCUCAACCUCAACAUAAUAUUUUUAUUCAUCAUCAUUGUUAUAAUUAAAUUUUAAUAAAAUCAAAAUGAGUACUAUGCCAGUAACUUCUUCAACACUUCUACCAUUGGCUUGUACCUGGAGGAGAUAUGCCAGAAUAACAUAAUGAACACAUUCCUUAGAUCUCCCACCACUAUAAUUUUAAGUUAAUUUGAAUACAAAAUUUGUAAAGAAUAAAUAAUUUUUUAAUAAAUAUAAGAUCAAGAAUA